AGCAGGUGAAACAGAAAUGGCAACUUCCUGAAUAUUUUCAACCCUCUAGGAAUGGCAUUGAGUGUCUGGGAGGAGUUUCUUACCAGGCUGCGGUACAAUGUUCAAUAAAACCCCGAGGUUAGCUCAGCUGGUCAGAGCACGGUGCUGAUAACACCAAGCAAGGAACAGCUGCCUGAUCCAGCUGUGCUCCAGGACAGUUCUGUUACCACUUGCAUGGUUAAACCUGCCUUACUACAGAGGCAAUACAACACUUCUCUCUCAGAAGCAAUGGCCAUUACGUGCAGCUGGAGGUCAAGCGUCGUUCACUGCUCUGGCCAUUCUGGCCUAGGACUCAUGGAAGGUGUUUUACCCUGCCUGUGUUAGUGCUCUUGACAUUACCAAGAAUAUUCUGGAAGUGGUAUAGACAGAAUAGUCCUGAGCACCAGACAAGUGCUCAGGAAGAGCAGGAAGAGUGUCAAGACACAAAGGGAUGUUUUCUUCACUGGAGAAGAUGCACGGGACCAGUUGGAGUGCUAAUGGUCUGGUAUUGAUCUGGAAGUCCUGUUUCAGAAAAAGCCUGUUCAGACAAUCCUUUCAGACACCACCUUUACGGUCUGCUGACGGUGCAGCCCCUCCGAGGGCAGGAAUGAGAGAGGAACCUGGGACAAUUUUGGUUUGUGCAUACCUUACCAGCGAGGGAACAGCUCCAGCCAUCCAGGGAUGACCUCCUUAAUCCCUCAGUCUGGAUUAAGGCAAUUGCAAUCACACCUCAUCCAGAACUGCCACACCUUUCUUAGCUUUCAUUUUCCUUCCAGCAGCAUGCAGUAAUCCAUAUCCUUUCCCUGCAUAUGGUGUUCAUCAGAAGUCUAAAUGCUAAUGGUGCCAUUUGGCAAGAUGAGCUACAUCAGCUGUAUACAAUAUCUUUCACCUACUCUUGACAGACCUGACUUUGCCCAGGCUUACAUGAGGAGUAAACAGAAAAGGUUUUCUGCUACAAAUGGAGCAGAACAAUAUCUAGAACUUGAUUCUCCUGGAAAACAGCAGA